CCUACGGGAGGCAGCAGUGAGGAAUAUUGGUCAAUGGGCGGACGCCUGAACCAUCCAAGUCGCGUGCAGGAUGACGGCCCUACGGGUUGUAAACUGCUUUUAUACGGGAAUAACGCCCCUUACGUGUAGGGCUUUGCAUGUACCGUAUGAAUAAGGACCGGCCAAUGCCGUGCCAGCAGCCGCGGUAAUACGGAAGGUCCGUGCGUUAUCCGGAUUUAUUGGGUUUAAAGGGAGCGUAGGCCGGAAUUCAAGCGUGCUGUGAAAUGUCCGGGCUCAACCCGGGCCUUGCAGCGCGAACUGGCGUGCUUGAGUCGGCGGAAAGCAGGCGGAAUUCGUCGUGUAGCGGUGAAAUGCUUAGAUAUGACGAAGAACCCAGAUUGCGAAGGCAGCUUGCUGCAGCGGAACUGACGCUGAUGCUCGAAAGCGCGGGUAUCGAACAGGAUUAGAUACCCUUGUAGUC
rnacentral:rRNA from 1 species